rnacentral:rRNA from 1 species
AUGGAAACAGAUUGCCUGGAGAUUGUCAAUCUCUAGAAAACUCGUCACUAUAGCUUCUCUGUGGUGGCACCAGUAUUAGUAGAAAUUAGAGAGCUAGCUUCCUCUUUUUCUUCCUUUGAUAUGCAACAUGUAAACCGAGCAGCCAAUGUACCGGCCUAUCUUUGUGCAAAACAUGCAUGCACUUUGAUGGUUACCGAAAGUUGGACUGGCUCGAGACCUUCUUUUCUGCUCACCAGCUUGUUAGCUGAUGAUGCCAGGAGUUCGUUCGUUGAAUAA